UGCAAUCUGUGAUGAAGUUGUAAUUUAUUGCUGAGUUGCAAUGAUUAUUCAUCAAAUUAAUCACCAUCUUUCGGCUGAGGUUGCA